UACAGAGGGUGCAAGCGUUAAUCGGAAUUACUGGGCGUAAAGCGUGCGUAGACGGUUGCGUAAGUCAGAUGUGAAAUCCCCGGGCUCAACCCGGGAACUGCGUCCGAUACUGGAAGGCUUGAAUCCGGGAGAGGGAUGCGGAAUUCCAGGUGUAGCGGUGAAAUGCGUAGAUAUCUGGAGGAACACCGGUGGCGAAGGCGGCAUCCUGGACCGGUAUUGACGCUGAGGCGCGAAAGCCAGGGGAGCAAACGGG
rnacentral:rRNA from 1 species